ensembl:lncRNA
GUAACACCUUGUGACUGGUGGCACCUUGGAUGAGAGCAGACCGUCGUGAUUAAUGAAUCACUGAGGGUGUGACCCAAAUAGCACCCUAUUGCUUAUGUAAUGCAUUCAUUUUGACCAGAGUUUAAAUUGGCCCUGGUCAAAAGUAGUGUGGCAUGCACUGAAUGAAAAGCAGAGUUUCUUGGGUCAAUCGGAUCUGCUAUAAUCCCAUGAAAUUGGAGGCGCGUGCCUCUCUACCUCAUGUUUCGGAAGACAAGCCCAGUGAAAAGAAGCCAACUCUCCCUGUCUCCUUAUCUAUCCUGUUUUCAGUUGAAACCGGGAUUCAUACUUGAAGAGCAUACUUCUCCAGCGUGCCAGUGGCCAUCGAAGUUUCAUCAGCUGUCCGAGUGGCUGGUCUCAGACGAUCCUGGAGGUGAUGAAGUCCGUUGUGGAGGUCCUGGGCUGGUGUGGUUACAUGUGGUCUGCGGUUUUGAGGCCGGUUGGACGUACUGCCAAAUUCCUUAAAACGUUGGAGGGGCCCUAUGGUAAAGAAAUUAACAUUCAAUUCACUGGCAACAGCUCUGGUGGACAUUCCUGCAGUCAGCAUGCCAAUUGCACGCUCCCUCAAAACUUGAGACAUCUGUAGCAUUGUGUUGUGUGACAAAACUGCACAUUUUAGAGUGGCCCAGCAUAAGGUGCACCUGUGUAAUGAUCAUGCUGUUUAAUCACCUUCUUGAUAUGCCACACCUGUCAGGUGGAUGAAUUAUACUGGCAAAGGAGAAAUUCUCACUAAGAGGGAUGUAAACACAUUUGUGCACAACAUUCAAGAUAAAUAAGAUUUUUGUGCGUAUGGAACAUUUCUGCGAUCUUUUAUUUCAGCUUAUGAAACAUGGGACCAACACUUUACGUGUUGCGUUUAUAUUUUUGUUCAGUGUAUUAUGUAGGCCUACCUGUUUGAGCUCCUGUUAGACAGAUUCAAUUUAAUUUCUCAAGAGGAGGCUGUACAGUCUUUCCCUCUACCUGUGUCUGUUCAGAUAGGACAUGUUUUAAGCAUGAUACAGAGGCUAUUUCUUUUGGGCAAUUCUUGCGUAUAUUUGCUAAAGCUACUUGUAUUUUUCAUACGAUAUUGUGCUUUCACCACUGGAUAACCAAGAUCUAUAAAUAAAUGUACACUCUGAGCACGUCA